CAACUGGAGACAUGUUGUUUGAUCUCCGCUGCUCCCCUGAGAAUAGUGUUCCUUUAAAGACAAUGAUACUUAUUGAGGGAGAGAGAAAGAGAGAGAGAGAGAGAGAUUUGGUGAAGCAGCUACAAUUACACAGAACACAAUGUGUCAAGAACCGGGAGGAAAGGAUCCCCCAUCUUUGGUGCAGUGUCACUCUGGGAAAGUGACAGAUGCAGGUUUCACUGCUUUACUGAAAGGAUUCUGCCCAAUCUGUAAUGGACAUGUCUUGACCACCUAAUGCAAAGCCUUUGUCAGCUGCUUCGAGAUGUCUGGCACGCUGAUGGGCCCAAGGCAUCUUCUGAGUGGCAUCUAGUAAUAAAUGCAGAUAUGUCUGAGGUGACAAUCAUCACUCCCCAAUCAGUCACCAAUCCGUCCCCAAUCAGAAGACACCCGCUCCUCUUCCCUCACCCAAUCACAGCCCCAUUUCCUUGGUUUAAAAACCCAGGAAUUUGGCAGUACAUCUAACCGGCCUCAACUUCCGCAGACCACUUGCGACCACGCCAGC
rnacentral:lncRNA from 1 species